rnacentral:rRNA from 1 species
CCUACGGGGGGCAGCAGUGGGGAAUAUUGGACAAUGGGCGAAAGCCUGAUCCAGCCAUGCCGCGUGUGUGAAGAAGGCCUUCGGGUUGUAAAGCACUUUCAGUGGGGAAGAAAGCCUUGGGGCUAAUACCCUCGAGGAAGGACAUCACCCACAGAAGAAGCACCGGCUAACUCCGUGCCAGCAGCCGCGGUAAUACGGGAGGGUGCGAGCGUUAAUCGGAAUUACUGGGCGUAAAGCGCGCGUAGGCGGUCUGAUAAGCCGGUUGUGAAAGCCCCGGGCUCAACCUGGGAACGGCAUCCGGAACUGUCAGGCUAGAGUGCAGGAGAGGAAGGUAGAAUUCCCGGUGUAGCGGUGAAAUGCGUAGAGAUCGGGAGGAAUACCAGUGGCGAAGGCGGCCUUCUGGACUGACACUGACGCUGAGGUGCGAAAGCGUGGUAGCAAACAGGAUUAGAUACCCGAGUAGUC